GUUAAUGAUAAAGUACUUUGAUAGCUUAUAUUUUAGUUCUGAACACUGUUUUGUUUGAGAAGGAUAGGUUUUAAUUGGGUGUAGUUAUUAAAAACCAAAAGACCUUGCAUGGUCUUGCAAGAUAGUGUCCAUGAUCAAAGGAAAGGCUUUAGGAGUUUUACAGAGUUCACCAGAAGUAUACUGAACUUCUAAACAACUAAAUGUUCACCAGAUAUAAUGGAAGAUAUCAUGUGAGAUGCUUUUCUAGCAUCUGUCUUCUCCCACUUGAAAAAUACUUCAGAAAGCAACAGUGACAGUCCAGGAAUAGAUGAGUUUAUCCUCUUAUGCAACAUUUCAUGUCCUGUUUGGGAAAUGGUGAAACCUCUGUGAUGCAACUAUGCAGGAUGCAAUGAUGAAACUCAUUUAAACCAGAUCAGCAACGAUCUGAACCAAGUUUUCUUGUGGAAAUGGAAGGUUCAAUGCAAAUGACUUUCAGAAUUCAUAGUCCAGGCCAUUUCACAGCUUACACACAUACGGUCUUAUUUUUUCUUCCCUGAAAGCAUAAACCCCUGCACAUUCAUUGGCUCAUUUGCAAUUGUGAAUAAAGCAGUCUGUGCCUGGGGUUUGUCCCAAUAACAAAGUUCACUGAGGGAGUUGACCCACUGAUAAGCUGUACUGCAAUGCACAGCAAGCCUUAAACUUUUGUCUCAUAAAUAAACAGUUCUAGGGCACUUCCUGCAAUUUCUCAGAGGCGGAAGCUUCUCAGUUUCAUCCCAUAAAGAUUUCAAUUUAAAAA